rnacentral:rRNA from 1 species
CGCGUAGACGGUUGUCUAAGUCUGGAGUGAAAGUCCUGCUUUCAAGGUGGGAAUUGCUUUGGAGACUGGAUGACUUGAGUGCGGAAGAGGUAAGUGGAAUUCCCAGUGUAGCGGUGAAAUGCGUAGAGAUUGGGAAGAACACCAGUGGCGAAGGCGACUUACUGGGCCGUAACUGACGUUGAUGCGCGAAAGCGUGGGGAGCGAACA